UACGGAGGGUGCAAGCGUUAUCCGGAUUCACUGGGUUUAAAGGGUGCGUAGGUGGGUUGGUAAGUCCGUGGUGAAAUCCCCAAGCUUAACUUGGGAACUGCCGUGGAUACUAUCAAUCUUGAAUAUCGUGGAGGUAAGCGGAAUAUGUCAUGUAGCGGUGAAAUGCUUAGAUAUGACAUAGAACACCAAUUGCGAAGGCAGCUCGCUACACGAAUAUUGACUCUGAGGCACGAAAGCGUGGGGAUCAAACAGG
rnacentral:rRNA from 1 species